AUACGUAGGGGGCAAGCGUUAUCCGGAUUUACUGGGUGUAAAGGGAGCGUAGACGGAAGGCCAAGUCUGAUGUGAAAGCCCGCGGCUCAACUGCGGGACUGCACUGGAAACUGGUCAUCUGGAGUGCAGGAGGGGUAAGCGGAAUUCCUAGUGUAGCGGUGAAAUGCGUAGAUAUUAGGAGGAACACCGGUGGCGAAGGCGGCUUACUGAACUGUAACUGACGUUGAGGCUCGAAAGCGUGGGGAGCAAACAGGAUUAGAUCCCCUGGUAGUCCACGCCGUAAACGAUGAAUACUAGGUGUCGGGUUUCUAUAGAGAUUCGGUGCCGCAGCAAACGCAAUAAGUAUUCCACCUGGGGAGUACGUUCGCAAGAAUGAAACUCAAAGGAAUUGACGGGG
rnacentral:rRNA from 1 species